rnacentral:tRNA from 1 species
GGUUUGUGGCUCAAUGGUAGAGCACCUACCUGGCAUGUGUGAGACACUGGGUUAAAUUCUCAGCACCA